AAGGAGGCCGCCCCCGGAAUCGCCAUUUCCCACAGGCCUGCCGGCCUGCCUGGCCGGACCUCAGCCCGAGCCCGCACUCGAGUCGGCGCUCGUUCCUGGGCCGCUACGAAGCUGGAGCCCGGUGGCCGAGAAGCGGCGACUCGAGCGCUGCAGCGCGGGAAGGCGCACUCGCCCCUCCGUGAUCUAAGGCCAGUGUGAAGAAACAUUGCAAUUAUGUCUGACGUAGCCCUAUUGUGGCGAUAGGCAAAUUGCAGUGGUCCAGGUCCUUGCUGAGGCAGGAGUUGAUUCUAGCCAAUGUCCAACCUCUCAAAGCAUUUCUUCACCACAGAUGUGAGUGCUACUGGACAAUAGUCAAUAAGGUGCUGCCUGACCGGCUGAGUACCUCCAGCAUUUUGUGUGUGGUAAUGGAAUGCCAUUGUUUUAUAUCUAAUGGUGUGAAAUCCAUAGAGGUGAUGCCUCCAUCUUAAUGAAUGGGAAUUGUUCCCAGCAGAAGAUAUUGAAACUGUUUC